GGCUCUUUUCGCUGUUGCUGCCUUCCCGGGGGCGGUCGCUUCGCUGCCAGAGACGCUUUCUUUUUUUUCCGGGUUCUGAGCCGUUCCGGAUGCUUUAGGUUGCCGGAUGUCUGAUCUUCGGAUAACUGAGGCGUUACUGUACAUGGAUUAUCUGAGAAUGUCUGAGUGUAUCCAGAUCUCAUUUGCUGUUUGUAGAAUUGGCAUUUACACGGGAAUGUUACACAGGAGAUAAUGCAUAUUCUCUAGAACCUAGUGUCUUGAU
rnacentral:lncRNA from 1 species